GAGAGUUGGGUAUUGCUUUGAGGUUUACAAAGCUUAUGAAAAGAAAACUCUGGCAAAUUUUAGGGACUUUGAAAAAUAUAUCUCUAAGCCCUCUAAACAAAGGCAGAUAUGGAAGUAGCAAUUCAAAUAUUUUCAAGGUUGACAUAGUCGUAUCAAUUGCCAUACAAUAUUUGAGCAAGUAGAUGAGUUAUCGUCUGGUAGUUAUCUUUGGAAAGUGACUCACCUCCUUUGCUUCCUGCGCAAUUUGAAGGUUCAUUACGUCAGUGAUAUAGAAGUUUUCAACGUUGAUAGAUGUAUGCGUAAACCUCUAUGCCCGGGGUUUUUGAGUUAUCUGCAUGAACACCAAAUUCAGAAUAGUGAUAGAAUAUGAUAGAUAUUGAGAGAGUUAAAUCUAAUUUCAUGGGAACAUUUGUUUUAAACAUUCGUAGGUGUGAUGGUGUAGCCGAUUCAAUUUUGGGGAGUGUGAGACGGAGGAUGUGGCUACAUAGACCCCCAUCUUCCUUGGUCUUUGUUCUGCAUGCGGAUGGGCUUCCCUCCCCUCCUAGUUCCUAGUUAGAGGUUGGUGACAUCUUAGUGGAUGGCCUUGUAACUAAGUUUUUCUUUGUUAGUUCUAUUUCUCUUUGCCUUGUUGUUAUCCGGUUGAGUGGAGGUGUUGUUCCCUCAUUCCUGGAGACUUUAUGUUUGUUUCUCUUUAUUUCAAGCAUCUCUUUGACCAAAAAACAAAACAUAUUUUGCAAUUUAUAUAUCAAACAAUUCAUGGGUUCAUAUACAAACUCUCUCUCCAUUUCCUCUUUCUUCUCCCGCGCACCCAUGCAAAGCCCUAGUUUCAGUUUUAUUCACUUAUCACUGCUGUGUGUCUCAAGCAAAUCCCAAGUCACAGAAGCCUCGAUAUCUCUAAUUGGACGGCCGUACAUCAGGCUAUUCUUGCUACAGUUUCUAUUGUCCUUGGAGUAACAGAGCUGUGUAGCUUGCUGAUUGUCCAGAUUGUUGAAAGAAAAAGAAAUGUAGUAGUUUAGAGGUUUAGCCCAUCCCAGCUGCUCUGGCCCUGCCUCCCUGCCUAGCAGAAGUACCCAGAACCAGAAAAUGGCAGGGGAAGAUGAGGACUUGCCCAGAGAUGCAAAGAUAGUGAAAACACUGUUAAAAUCAAUGGGUGUGGAGGAAUAUGAGCCUUGUGUUGUUCACCAAUUCUUGGAGCUGUGGUAUUGAUACGUGGUUGAUGUGCUAACUGAUGCACAGGUCUGCUCAGAACAUGCUGGUAAGCCCGCAAUUGAUUGUGACGAUGUCAAGCUUACUAUUCAGUCCAAGGUUAAUUUCAGCUUCUCACAGCCCCCACCAAGAGAGGUGCUACUGGAAUUGGCUAGAAAUAGGAACAAAAUCCCAUUACCAAAAUCAAUUGCAGGGCCUGGUGUGGCAUUGCUGCCUGAACAGGACACAUUGAUCAGCCCAAACUAUCAACUGGCAAUCCCAAAGAAACAAUCUGCUCAAGCAGUGGAAGAAAUGGAGGAAGAUGAGGAACCUGCUUAACCCAAUCCGCCCCAGGAACAGAAGCCUAUCCUUUCCCCUUGCUAAAGGCACCAAGUGAGAGACUACAUGGUACAUCAAUCAGCCAAUGGGAUUAUAGUCCAGAGAUGUGAGAUGAAACAGUUGUUCACUUACUAAAGAUUCUGACUCGUAUUGGAUCUGUGUACUUGUAAAAGAAUGUUCUGUUUAAAUAUUAUGUUGUUUACUUCUUCUGUCUUGUUCUUUCACAAUUAUUUGAAUGCUUACGCCAUAUGUUAUUGAUAGUAUUUUGAAUGAUUAAUUGAUUAUGUGAAG